GGCUGCUUAAGAUCGGACUUUCCCGAAUCAGAUAACAACCGGGAUUAUCAUUAGCAGGAGUACAGGAAGACGAAAGCCCCAAUUGACUGAUAUAUCAACCGAGGCCAACGCAUGAACCUGGCAAUUCAGAUGUUAGCCUCUUACCCGCCGAAAGACCAUUAAAACAGGUCAGAAUG
rnacentral:antisense_RNA from 1 species